GAUGAACGCUGGCGGCGUGCCUAAUACAUGCAAGUCGGGCGGACAGGCGCGGAGCUUACUCCGCUGACGUGUGCGGCGGGCGGGUGAGUAACACGUGGAUAACCUCCCUAUAAGACUGGGAUAACUUCGGGAAACCGGAGCUAAUACCGGAGAACAUGCUGAACCGCAUGGGUGAACAGUGAAAGACGGUCUUUCUGUCACGUAUAGAUGCAUCCGCGUCGCAUUAGCUAGUUGGGAGGGUAACGGCUUACCAAGGCAACGAGGCGUAGCCGAACUGAGGGGGUGGUCGGCCGCACGGGAAGGGAGACGCGGUCCAGACUCCUACGGGAGGCAGCAGUAGGGAACCUGACGCAGUGGGCGAAAGCCUGACGGAGCAACGCCGCGUGAGUGAAGAAGGUGUUCGGAUCGUGAAACUCUGUUAUUAGGGAAGAACAAAUGUGUAAGUAACUAUGGCCGUCUUGACGGUACCGAAUCAGAAAGCCACGGCUAACUACGUG
rnacentral:rRNA from 1 species